GAAAUGCGAUAAGUAAUGUGAAUUGCAGAAUUCAGUGAAUCAUUGAAUCUUUGAACGCACAUUGCGCCCGCCAGCACUCUGGCGGGCAUGCCUGUUCGAGCGUCAUUUCAACCCUCAGAACCCCUUGCGGGAUCUGGCGUUGGGGAUUGGCAUCCAGCCAGCCCCGAAAUCUAGUGGCGGUCCCUCCGCGACCUCCCCUGUGCAGUAGCGAUACCUCGCAGCGGGACAGCGGUCUGACCACGCCGUAAAACCCCCAACUUCUCAAUGUUGACCUCGAAUCAGGUAGGAAUACCCGCUGAACUUAAGC
rnacentral:misc_RNA from 1 species